rnacentral:rRNA from 1 species
GACGAACGCCGGCGGCGUGCCUAACACAUGCAAGUCGAACGGAGUAGAGAGCUUCGGUUUUCUACUUAGUGGCAAACGGGUGAGUAACGCGUGAGGAACCUGCCUCUCAGUGGGGGACAACAGUUGGAAACGACUGCUAAUACCGCAUAACAUGUACGGAUCGCAUGGUCUGUACAUCAAAGCUUUAUGUGCUGAGAGAUGGCCUCGCGUCUGAUUAGCUAGUAGGCGGGGUAACGGCCCACCUAGGCGACGAUCAGUAGCCGGUCUGAGAGGAUGAACGGCCAAAUUGGGACUGAGAUACGGCCCAGACUCCUACGGGAGGCAGCAGUGGGGAAUAUUGGGCAAUGGGGGAAACCCUGACCCAGCAACGCCGCGUGAAGGAAGAAGGCCCUCGGGUUGUAAACUUCUUUUACCAGGGACGAAGAACGUGACGGUACCUGGAGAAAAAGCCACGGCUAACUACGUGCCAGCCGCCGCGGUAAAAC